rnacentral:rRNA from 1 species
UACAGAGGUCCCAAGCGUUGUUCGGAUUCACUGGGCGUAAAGGGUGCGUAGGCGGUUUGACAAGUCUGAUGUGAAAUCCCGCAGCUUAACUGCGGAACUGCAUUGGAAACUGUUUGACUAGAGGAAUGGGAGGGGAGACUGGAAUACUUGGUGUAGGCAGUGAAAUGCGUAGAUAUCAAGUGGAACACCAGUGGCGAAGGCGAGUCUCUGGACAUUUCCUGACGCUGAGGCACGAAAGCCAGGGGAGCAAACGGG